GUGCGUGCGGUGUCAUUUUUAACCGAUUUUUGUUGCUCGAUUUUAAUUGGACAACAUCAAAACGUUUUGAUAUUAUACGAUUUUUAUCGGUGGAAUUUUAAGUAUAACCAAUCAGAUUUCGUGCUGUGAUCACGUGCUUGUAUUUAUUUGGCAACAUGGCGGCUACAGUUCAGGGAGCACAGCCUAGUCCCAGGCUCUCUUUCUAUUCGCUGCUUUGAUAUAUUUAAAUAAGUCUUAAAAGUUUUAUGCCUGGGUGUGCUGUGCGGAACGCUUCAGCGAGAGAGC